GCGCCGGUAGCUCAGUUGGAUAGAGCGUCUGACUACGGAUCAGAAGGUCGGGGGUUCGAAUCCUCUCCGGCGCACCA
rnacentral:tRNA from 1 species